GCACAAAAGUAGAAUUAAGACAUCCGGGAUAAAUGACUCAGCUGAGCUCAAUGAAGCCAAAACAUGUGCGUCCAGGCUUAAUUGGUUGCACAAAGACCAAGCCAGGAUGAGCAGACACGGAUUCAUUAAGCCAGGUGAAACCAAUCCUGGAUAGGUGCGCGCUCACGGCUCACUCAAAUAGACCCCGCCACAGAUCACAGAUUAACUGAUUUACCAUGGCAACUAGAGCCGCGUACUUUUCCCCGUCGGAAGCACAAAUCCUCAUGGAGGCAUACGAGGAGGUAAAAGAUAUAAUUAAGAAGAAAGGCAACACCGCCACAGUGAUAAAGCAAAGAGAAAAAGCGUGGCAAAGUAUUGCAGACCGCCUGAAUGCGUAAGUAGUGCACAAUUACACACUCACCGCUCCGCUGAAACAUCACAAUUACAAUUCAAAUAUUUAAUUCACAUCUCCAAAAAUGCAGUUGUACUGUAAUUAUGAAACGGUUAAAUUUUUAAUUGAAAUGCACUGCAGAUAUGAGUGAAAUUGUGUAAAGUAACUCCAUCACACUGUAUAAAGCUAUGAUAAAUUUUUUGAUAUUUUUACUGAAAACAAGACAAAAAUACCAAGUAAUUUUUUGCAGUGUGACUCCAUUAAAUGUGUGUGUGUGUGUGUGUGUGUGUGUGUGUGUGUGUGUGUGUGUGUAGAUUAAACAUGAACGGGCCAAAACGGACAUGGCAGCAGGUCAAAAUCAAAUACAAGAACAUUCUGCAGAAUGCAGUGAAAAAGAAUACCCACAGACAAGGCACGGGUGGUGGGUCACCAAAGGCUGACCUUACCCCAGCAGAGGACAUGGCCUUGGAGCUAAAUAAAGGCAGGCCCGUCUUAGAGGGGAUCCCUGGGGGGAAAGAGACGAGCAUAGGUUCCUCCCAAGAUGCCACCCGCUUCAUUCAAGUGCCUGGCAGCACUGUGUUCCUGUUAGAGCCACCAGCACAAGCACCAGACGAUGCUGAUCCAGGUGAAGGCCCCAGUGCAGCAGCAACAGCACAUGAUGGAGACGAUGAUGAGGAGGAGACCAUCUCUCUGGAUUCCAGAAGGCAUGAGGUAUCAUGUUAAGACGGUGAAAGUACUAUUUACUCUACAAUGGUGAGGAGUCCUCAUCAAAAUCAAAAAAUCUAAUUUCUUUUACAGGACCCAGAUGCUAUACAGUGGGAAAACCAGCCUGGCAACAUAGUGCGUAUUAAUAAAAGGACACCACAUCCUGCCAAAUUCCAGCUGCGCUAAUUGUAUUGUGUUCACAGAGCUCACAAGCUAUCAGAAAGUUGUAUGGCAACCACCUCCGGCGCCAAAUAGAACUGGCAGACAUAGACAUUCAGUACAAGAAGAAAAAGAUGGAAAAUCUUGCACUGGAGUCCGAAAUAAAAAGAGGACAAUUAGGAAACUGGACCUUGAAAUAAAAAAACUUGAGAGGGAGCUCCAAGAAGAUGACACAGCUCAAAAUAAAAAUUAGGUAUAUUCUCGUAAAGUCAAGUGAGCCAUGACAUAUGAGCUCUUAUUGUGAGCACACAGGACGGUGGCAUCUUUCUAAGGUUUUUUUAUUUUCCCAGCAAUCAGUACAACCAAGUCAUCGUUAUAAGGCAUCGCCCUCUUUUGCCCACCCCCCCAGCACCAGGUGUGGCCACUAGCCUAUAUGAAGGCCCAAAAUUGUGUGUUCCUUUCUGCUCUGACAAUGGCAUGCCCAUUCGUGCGAGAUGUGGUGGAUGAAGAAGCACUUGUGCUGAGGAGAGCCUUCAGGCGAGAAAGGGUCUUCAGGGACCGGUUGGACCCACUGGCCUUCCCUGAUGACCAUCUAUAUGAAAGAUACCUGAUGCCAUCUGCAGAAAACCUGUAUCUAUGCAGACUACUGGGUCCCAGGAUUAAGCACCGCACUGCACGGAGCCAUGCACUGAGUGUGGAGCAAAUGGUUUGUGUGGCCUUGCGCUUUUUUGCUAGUGGAGCCUUCCUGUACUCAGUGGGGGAUGCAGAACAGCUGAACAAGGCCACAAUUUGCCGCACAAUAAGGAGUGUGUGUCUGGCUAUCAAAGCAUUAGCAGAUGUCUUCAUCUCCUUCCCUGGCCACAGAAGACUCUGUGACAUCAAAGAGGAGUUCUAUAGGAUUGCAGAUGGUCUGCAAUGCUGACUGUGUGAUCAGCAAUGUUGUGGCAAAAUGGCCUGGCUCAGUCCAUGACUCCAGAAUCUUUCGGGCCUCUGAAAUCUAUCAGUGCCUAUCACAAGGUGAAUUCUCUGGUGUGUUGCUGGGAGACAGGGGGUAUGACUGCCAGCCUUUUCUCCUGACACCUUUCACAGACCCCAGGAAGCACAGCAGGCCUACAACCAUGCCCAUGCCAGGACCAGGGCCAGAGUUGAAAUUACCUUUGGCCUCCUGAAGGCACGCUUUCACUGCCUUCACAAAUUAAGGGUCAGCCCUGUUAGGGCAUGUGAUAUUACUGUGGCUUGUGCUGUCCUCCACAAUGUGGCCUGCCUGAGGAAGGAGAGGGCCCCCAGAGUGCCACCAGCCAUGGACUGGGACAAUCCGGCAAUCUUCCCUGAUGACGACAGUGGUCGGCUGCUGAGGGACCAAUAUGUGUUGAAUUAUUUUAGUUAGUAUGUGUGCUUUCAAUUUUGGUUAAAUAUGUCCUGCGGUGGCAGAGGAAUUUGGUUUUUUUGGGUUCGUUUUUGACGAAUUUGGCCUCUUAUGAUGUUUGUGCGGUAUACUGUGUGUAAUACAAGGCUGCAGGGAGGCUACUGCAUCCAUUCAUUUGUCUGUUCAGUUGAUGUGUAUGGAUUUGUCCUGCAUUUAUUUUAGUGUGCAGACAUGCAGGGUGUGUUAUAUACAGACCUUUGAAUGUGUAUGUAUCAUUUUGUAUAAUAUGCUUGGAUUCUGUGCUUUCCAUCUUGUAGAGUCACUGUGACUUCAGUUUCGAAAGGAGCUGAUGGUUUACCUGCUUUGUUUUGUCCUUAUUCAAUAAAGGAACAUAAUGUUACACAUUGUGUUUUUAUAUUCA